GCUGGGCAUGGUGGUGCAUGCCUGUAAUCCCAGCUACUCAGGAGGCUGAGACAGGAGAAUCACUUGAACCCAGGAGGCGGAGGUUGCCGUGAGCCAAGAUGGUGGCCCUGUAUUCCAGCCUGGGCAACAGAGUGAGACUCUGUCUCAG
ensembl:misc_RNA Metazoa_SRP Metazoan signal recognition particle RNA